rnacentral:rRNA from 1 species
UGGGGAAUAUUGCACAAUGGGCGCAAGCCUGAUGCAGCCAUGCCGCGUGUAUGAAGAAGGCCUUCGGGUUGUAAAGUACUUUCAGUCGGGAGGAAGGUGUUAAGGUUAAUAACCUUGGCAAUUGACGUUACCGACAGAAGAAGCACCGGCUAACUCCGUGCCAGCAGCCGCGGUAAUACGGAGGGUGCAAGCGUUAAUCGGAAUUACUGGGCGUAAAGCGCACGCAGGCGGUUGAUUGAGUCAGAUGUGAAAUCCCCGGGCUUAACCCGGGAAUUGCAUCUGAUACUGGUCAGCUAGAGUCUUGUAGAGGGGGGUAGAAUUCCAGGUGUAGCGGUGAAAUGCGUAGAGAUCUGGAGGAAUACCGGUGGCGAAGGCGGCCCCCUGGACAAAGACUGACGCUCAGGUGCGAAAGCGUGGGGAGCAAACAGG